GACGUACUGCAGCAGGGGUCUCCCUCUGUCCUCCGCCUCCUCGCCCUCCUCGCCCUCCUCCUCCAGGGAGUGGGUGUGUCUGAAGUAGGUCUGCGCGUAGACGUAGUAGAGGCCGGGCUGCGGCACCACCAGCUCCCCAUCCACCAGCUGGACGUCCUGGAGGAAGGCCAGCCCCUUCUGCCCCUCCCACCACGAAAUCUUCUGGCCUUGAACUCGCCGCCCAGCGGAGACCGGAGCUGCGGAAAACAAACACAUUCAGAAUAAAAUCACAACCUAGAAGGUUUCAUUUCCCUUACAGUACACUGCUGCUGCAUCUAAUCUGAGUUAAUGAUGAUUAACUCCUGUAAACACAGACUGAGAGUUGAGCUGGACUGAAUCCAGGAAACCAAAGGACUUCACCAAAACAAGCAGACUCCAGAUCUCUCCACAUUUGAUCUCACCUCAAACUGAGCAUCAAUCAAGUUUCUUUUAUGAGAUAUCUGGAAAGAAGAUGGGAGAUUCUUGGAAGCUGACGGGCUUUGACUUGAAGAACGAGUGUUUGCGAGCCAGGAGGAAGUAAAGUGCAAGAAACAGAAAGCCAGCUUGUGUCUUUGAUCUCCAGCGAGAGCCAACACGGAGAAGCCCUUCAAGAGUGAAGUAUAACUCUAUGACACCUCCAUGUCCUGAUGAAGAUCAUGUAAAGCCACCAAAUGAACCUCGUGGACGCGUUGCUACUGACGGACAGUGGAUCAAACCUGUGACCUUCUAGGUUACAGGUUUGAUUUUUUUUAGUCCAUUUUGGCCCCCCACAUGGAUUACACUUGAUUACCAAAGACAUGAGGACACAUGAUCCAACAGGGAGCUCUCUGAAAUACCAGACGCUUGGCUCCAGGACAUCUUUGGUGCCACAAACAACAUCCAGAGAUCCUGGUUCACGAGGAUCUGGAGCACGUUGAUCGUCUACAGAUUCUGGUCCAGCCAGCGGAUAUAGUUGUUCAUGCUCCUCAGUCCAACGCGAGACAUCAUUGGCAGGUACGCAAACACCAUGCAGCCAUGAAAUCCAUCCUCGUAGUGAUCACUGUACACCGUGACGCCGGCGUCCUGCAGGCGCCUUGCGUACAUCAAGCCGUCAUCCCUCAGCACGUCAAACUCACAGGUCAUCACGUACGCUUUAGGCGUCCUACUUAGAACCCGCUGCUCUGCCAGCAGCGGCGCCGCCCUCACGUCCAGCAGCUCCGGUAUCAUGCCCAUCACCCCUGGCGACCCCGUUUCUUUCACAACCGGCCGAAAGUGCCUCCUGCGUUCAGCCGGGAGCAAAGCGGUCCAGUUCAGCUUUGAGCGCGUGUCGGCGCUGAUGGCCGGCUGGUCCAGGGAGCUGUGGUUGUUAGCGAGCAGGAGGGGCUCCAGGGAGGAGUCGGCGCCCAGGUACUGCAGCCAGAACUGAGCCAUGACAGGCCUGUAGAGGAUGGGCACGGCCUGGUUCUGCUGGUAGGACGGGGUAUGGAAGUCGAGCGCCUGCAGCACGGGGUAGAUCAACGCCUGGGCCUUGAACUUCACUGUCAGCGUGUCAUCUGAGCUGAGCUGCGGACACAAGUCAGGUUUUAGAUUAUAGUCCAGAUAAUAUGGGUAAAUAAAUAUGGGUAUUUUAUAUACUCCUUCGUCUUCACAGCGUCUUUAAAAUUAUUCUGAUGAUCACUUGGGUUGAUGAAGGGACAACACAACUUGUCACGUAUGGACGCUUCGUCAAGAUGCCUUGGCGUUGCUUUUUAACGCCAUACAUACCCCUUUAGCGUUGUUUUUAGAAGUGUAGGUCUCCGCGGUUCAGACGCUAGAAGUACUUGGUUACGUUCAGGAAAAGAUCAUGGUUUGGGUUAAAAUAAAUAUAUAACUUGCGUCACUUAACUAAAAUCAACGCUGACUUUUUGUUUCACACAGGGAACAUGACUAUGACGGAAAGGGGUCAGAUUGUAAACGCCAAGUAAAAACUGUUUAAAAUUCUACACUUAGUCUUUUAACUUCCUUCUUUUCAUCUUAAAACUCUUCACUUUAACCCAAACUUAUAAGGUUUUUUGAGUGCUCGCAGUUUCUGGCUGAACUAACCCUCAUUUUCACCCGAGCUGAACCGUCUCCUGAGGGUUUCCCCUCUCUGGACUCUUAACAGCAGGUUAAACCAGGCCGACUUCACCAAACACAGCAUUUGUUUUAUGUUUCAGCACAACAGAGAGCUAUUCAGUUCUGUACAUGCAAAAAUACAGUGAUAAUCCAGUAUUUUGCAUAUCGGAUCACUACUACCAGCCCGUGAGCUGGCUGGUAAGCUGCCACUAAGAGGUGAACAAGCGACUCAAGGGACUGGAACUAAAUCCUGACAAGUGCUGACAAGUGAAAUGUUUAAAUGUGCAAAAAUCUAAUGUGUGUUUCGUUUUGUUUUGGGGGUUUUUUACCUCCUGAGCCACAGCGGCCGCCAGGUUUCCCCCGGCGCUGUCUCCAGACACGCACACCCUCUCUGGAUCGAUGCUGUAUCGCUCUAACACCUGAGGGGACAGGAAAGCCCGGGACGCCGCUAACGCAUCGUGGUACUGGUCCGGGAACACCGCCUCUGGAGCAAGACGUGUGACAGGACUUACUCGACCGAUAUGACGACAGAGUCCAGGUCCUCCGCCAUUUUCCGACAGAGCCGGUCGUAAGAUCGCAUCCCUGUGAAGCAGGUGGACUCAGGGUUUUAAAUCAACACUCACGUCCGCUGCAGAGCGCCCAUCCUCCACCGUGGAAAUACAGGACCCCCCUUUUCAGCUGCUUCCCCCCUUUCGGCUGGAAGACCCGGGUGGGCACGCCGCCCAGCGUGGAGUCGGUCACGUGCACGGCGGGGCAGGAGCGAGCCUCGAUCACCUCCACCCAGGACACCACCUGGUUCAACAUGUGGACACGAUGGCACACACCCAGCUUGUGAGCCACGUCACUCUGAAAAUACAAACACGCCCGUUAUUACGCGGUUAGAGAGAGUUUUCUGUACCUGACAGGACUCCGCUUUGACUCCCGCAGCCCUGCAGAGUACAGGAAGACACUGAAAUCAAAACUUUAUAGAUGGAAAAGUAGUCUUCAAGUAGAGGUUUGUUUUCUUUGAGUGUCUUCUGGUUGUACAAACAUUUUAAUCAGAGGUGGAAGAAGUACUCAGAUCUUGUACUUAUACU